ACUCAGAGCCCUCAUUUCACCCCAAACUCAUGUCUCAGUAAUCUAACAACAAACCAGAGAGGAUAGAGCAUUAUCUGUUUCUGGUUAAACUCUAAUUUGAAAAAUGAAAAGAAAGGGUAUUGAUCAAAUUGGUAGGCGCAUAAAAUUAGAACAUUGCACCCAUUGUCAUUUUAAUGAAAUGCAAAAAUGAAAUCAAGGCUGAUCUGAUAAUGAACACUUAAACAAGGAGUUUUGAAUUUUAUCAAUCUUGCAGAAAGGAUAGAUAAAGCGUGCGUUCUCUGUUUCUCGUCAAAAAAGAAAGUGGAGAUGCGGGGUAUCGAUCCCCGUACCUCGAGCGCUCUACCAUCUGAGCUACAUCCCCACUUGAGUUAUUGAUAGAAACAAUAAACUUUUGAUUUCUUUUUUCACGGGCAAUAAACUUUGUUUUAGAAGAGGCCUUUUUCUUUUGUCAAAAAAAUAUCAUUCAUUCAUGACACCAAACUAAAGACACAUUAUCCCUCCCUGAGCCGUUGCCACCCUCUACCCUGUCUGAAUUGCCACCAUCCUCUCGUUGAUACUAUUGUGGCGUGUUGUCGUCCUCUUGGAGAGCGAUUGUCAAGAGAGGAUAGGGCCUGGAAAUCCAUCCCACUGGAAUUCGCGAGAGAUCUUUAUUACCGGAAGCAGGGUCAUCGACGAAGAUCGAUCUCAGAGAUGCAUGCAGUGGAACAUGGUACUACCGUACUAGUGAAUGAGAUGCUUGGCACCACUCAUCAAAAUGAGCCUCUUCAGGUUCAAUACCAUCAUGAAUGAUCACUAAUGAUGGGAAGCUCUAGAUGGUCGCUGCACUUUGCAUGUAAGGAAAAAUCCUGAAGAUCUUAGUCAUGUCAUCAAGUAAGUCUGCGUUAUGGCUAUACCGCUCUGGUUGUGGUUUUCGUGUAUUAGAGAGCAUGAGUACAUAGGACUCUUGUGCUCUUGGCUACACUAGAUUAGACCCAUGUUAGUGUUAGUUUGUUGAAGUAACAACUUGUUGUGCAAGCCUCCUCUCCUUUAUAUAUAAGGAAAGUCUUGUACCUGCAACAGUAAGCUUUUACCUAAUAACGUAUAAUACAAUAAUUUUCAGAUCUCUCAGUAUUAGAUCUAGGUUUUCA